GAUGAACGCUGGCGGCGUGCCUAAUACAUGCAAGUCGAGCGAAUGGAUUAAGAGCUUGCUCUUAUGAAGUUAGCGGCGGACGGGUGAGUAACACGUGGGUAACCUGCCCAUAAGACUGGGAUAACUCCGGGAAACCGGGGCUAAUACCGGAUAACAUUUUGAACCGCAUGGUUCGAAAUUGAAAGGCGGCUUCGGCUGUCACUUAUGGCUGGACCCGAGUCGCAUUAGCUAGUUGGUGAGGUAACGGCUCACCAAGGCAACGAUGCGUAGCCGACCUGAGAGGGUGAUCGGCCACACUGGGACUGAGACACGGCCCAGACUCCUACGGGAGGCAGCAGUAGGGAAUCUUCCGCAAUGGACGAAAGUCUGACGGAGCAACGCCGCGUGAGUGAUGAAGGCUUUCGGGUCGUAAAACUCUGUUGUUAGGGAAGAACAAGUGCUAGUUGAAUAAGCUGGCACCUUGACGGUACCUAACCAGAAAGCCACGGCUAACUACGUGCCAGCAGCCGCCGCGG
rnacentral:rRNA from 1 species